UACAGACGGAGAGCAGAGUCUCCAGUCCCCAGCUGUCUGUCUAUGAAGAGUGACCGGUCCAGAGAUUUCCUCUGUUCUUCAGGAAUGAAACCUGGACCUUCACACACACAAGGUGAGUCCUACAGACAGAGAGCAGAGUCUCCAGUCCCCAGCUGUCUGUCUAUGAAGAGUGACCGGUCCAGAGAUCUUCCUCUGUUCUUCAGUAAUGAACCUGGACCUUCACACACACAAGGUGAGUCCUACAGACGGAGAGCAGAGUCUCCAGUCCCCAGCUGUCUGUCUGUGAAGAGUGACCGGUCCAGAGAUCCUCCUCUGUUCUUCAGGAAUGAACCUGGACCUUCACACACACAGUAA